rnacentral:misc_RNA from 1 species
GAUGAGAACGUAGCGAAAUGCGAUAAGUAAUGUGAAUUGCAGAAUUCAGUGAAUCAUCGAAUCUUUGAACGCACAUUGCGCCCGCUAGUAUUCUGGCGGGCAUGCCUGUCCGAGCGUCAUUUCAACCCUCAAGCCCCCGGGCUUGGUGUUGGGGAUCGGCGAGCCUCCGCGCCCGCCGUCCCCUAAAUCUAGUGGCGGUCUCGCUGUAGCUUCCUCUGCGUAGUAGCACACCUCGCACUGGGAAACAGCGCGGCCACGCCGUUAAACCCCCAACUUCUGAACGUUUGACCUCGGAUCAGGUAGGAAUACCCGCUGAACUUAAGCAUAUCAAUAAGCGGAGA